rnacentral:rRNA from 1 species
GACGAACGCUGGCGGCGUGCUUAACACAUGCAAGUCGAACGAAGUGGCGAACGGGUGAGUAACGCGUAAUCAACCUGCCCUUCAGAGGGGGACAACAGUUGGAAACGACUGCUAAUACCGCAUACUGAAGUCGGGGAUUGCGUCUGAGUAGCUAGUUGGAGGGGGAACGGCCCACCAAGGCGAUGAUCAGUAGCCGUGCUGGUAGUAUGGACGGCCACAUUGGGAAUGAGACACGGCCCAGACUCCUACGGGAGGCAGGAGUGGGGAAUCUUCCGCAAUGGACGAAAGUCUGACGGAGCAACGCCGCGUGAGUGAUGACGGCCUUCGGGUUGUAAAGCUCUGUUAAUCGGGACGCGGUACCGGAAUAGAAAGCCACGGCUAACUACGUGCCAGCAGCCGCGGUAAUUC